UGACCCUUAUUAAGCCGAGGGUCACCUAGCCAACUGACGUUGUUAGUGAAUAUCAUUUGUUCACAACUUAUGUAGCCAAUCGAAGAAUAUUUCGGUUGGCUUUUUUUUA
rnacentral:sRNA from 1 species